GGAUUCUAUUACUCCGUAGACCGUAUCAAGACGGAUUUACGUAGACUAAAACGCGCAAGUAGUAAAACGGACGUAACAAAUUCCUUCCAUAGUUGUAAUUUCGUAACACGAAAUAAAAACGGAGAUUUGAACGAAACAUUUCGCCCGGCCUUAGCUGAUACUAAAGAAAAUUAAACGAGAUAAAAUGCUAUUACUCCUUCUCUCCAUGUUUUGCGUUUUGGAGCACAGUGUCGAAACAGACGAGAUUUCGUGUAAUGGUCUUCUGUUUGAUCAUGUUUAUUACGACAGAGAAUUAUUACUG
rnacentral:misc_RNA from 1 species